GACGAACGCUGGCGGCGUGCUUAACACAUGCAAGUCGAACGGAAAGGCCCUGCUUUUGUGGGGUUCUCGAUUGGCGAACGGGUGAGUAACACGUGAGUAACCUGCCCUUGACUUUGGGAUAACUUCAGGAAACUGGGGCUAAUACCGGAUAGGAGCUCCUGCUGCAUGGUGGGGGUUGGAAAGUUUCGGCGGUUCGGGAUCGACUCGCGGCUUAUCAGCUUGUUGGUGGGGUAGUGGCUUACCAAGGCUUUGACGGGUAGCCGGCCUGAGAGGGUGACCGGCCACAUUGGGACUGAGGUACGGCCCAGACUCCUACGGGAGGCAGCAGUGGGGAAUAUUGCACAAUGGGCGGAAGCCUGAUGCAGCAACGCCGCGUGCGGGAUGACGGCCUUCGGGUUGUAAACCGCUUUCGCCUGUGACGAAGCGUGAGUGACGGUAAUGGGUAAAGAAGCAACGGCUAACUACGUG
rnacentral:rRNA from 1 species